AAUGACUUCCUUGAGAGUCCUGUUCCCCUUUCAUCAAUGCACAGACACAGAAGACCCCUCCAUCCUGGAGCACCUGCCAUGAGCACCAGCCUCCUGUGCUGUGCAGCCUUUUCUCUCCUGUGGGCAGGUCCAGUGAAUGCUGGUGUCACUCAGACCCCAAAAUUCCGCAUCCUGAAGAUAGGACAGAGCAUGACACUGCAGUGUGCCCAGGAUAUGAACCAUAACUACAUGUCCUGGUAUCAACAAGACCCAGGCAUGGGGCUGAAGCUGAUUUAUUACUCAGUUACUGCUGGUAUCACUGAUAAAGGAGAAGUCCCGAAUGGCUACAAUGUCUCCAGAUCAACCACAGAGGAUUUCCCGCUCAGGCUGGAGUCGGCUGCUCGCUCCCAGACAUCUGUGUACUUCUGUGCCAGCAGUUACUCCACAGAGCUACAAGGCCCUGGCUCAAGGCUUUCUCUUGUGGCUGCAGCACCUGACCUCCUCCAGGUCUCUGUGCUCUCUGUCAGGGUCUUUCCCCACAACAAAUCUAGACAGAUCAGAGAUCCACUUCUAGAAUUCCAUCCUUAA